UACGGAGGGUGCAAGCGUUAUCCGGAUUCACUGGGUUUAAAGGGUGCGUAGGAGGGCAGGUAAGUCAGUGGUGAAAUCUCCGAGCUUAACUUGGAACUGCCGUUGAUACUAUCUGUCUUGAAUACCGUGGAGAUGAGCGGAAUAUGUCAUGUAGCGGUGAAAUGCUUAGAUAUGACAUAGAACACCAAUUGCGAAGGCAGCUCACUACACGCCUAUUGACACUGAGGCACGAAAGCGUGGGGAUCAAACAGG
rnacentral:rRNA from 1 species